UUGCUUUGGCAGCAAAUACGCCGAAACUGGAUUGAUCCAGAGAAGAUAAGUAUGGCAGCCUGCACAAGGAUAAUUUGCAAGAAAGAGAGAUGAUAGUUAAUAGA